rnacentral:rRNA from 1 species
CAGUAGCCGCGGGAAUACGAAGGUCCCGAGCGUUGUUCGGAAUCACUGGGCGUAAAGCGUGCGCAGGCGGUUAUGUAAGACAGUUGUGAAAUCCCCGGGCUCAACCUGGGAACUGCAUCUGUGACUGCAUAGCUAGAGUACGGUAGAGGGGGAUGGAAUUCCGCGUGUAGCAGUGAAAUGCGUAGAUAUGCGGAGGAACACCGAUGGCGAAGGCAAUCCCCUGGACCUGUACUGACGCUCAUGCACGAAAGCGUGGGGAGCAAACAGGAUUAGAUACCCCCGUAGUCCCUGUCUCUUAUAC